rnacentral:rRNA from 1 species
AACGCUAGCUACAGGCUUAACACAUGCAAGUCGAGGGGUAACGAAAGGGAAGCUUGCUUUCCUUGUCGACGACCGGCGCACGGGUGAGUAACGCGUAUCCAACCUGCCCACCACUUGGGGAUAACCUUGCGAAAGUAAGACUAAUACCCAAUGAUAUCUCUAGAAGACAUCUGAAAGGGAUUAAAGAUUUAUCGGUGAUGGAUGGGGAUGCGUCUGAUUAGCUUGUUGGCGGGGUAACGGCCCACCAAGGCGACGAUCAGUAGGGGUUCUGAGAGGAAGGUCCCCCACAUUGGAACUGAGACACGGUCCAAACUCCUACGGGAGGCAGCAGUGAGGAAUAUUGGUCAAUGGGCGAGAGCCUGAACCAGCCAAGUAGCGUGCAGGAUGACGGCCCUAUGGGUUGUAAACUGCUUUUAUAAGGGAAUAAAGUGAGUCUCGUGAGAUUUUUUGCAUGUACCUUAUGAAUAAGGACCGGCUAAUUCCGUGCCAGCAGCCGCGGUAAUACGGAAGGUCCGGGCGUUAUCCGGAUUUAUUGGGUUUAAAGGGAGCGUAGGCCGGAGAUUAAGCGUGUUGUGAAAUGUAGAUGCUCAACAUCUGCACUGCAGCGCGAACUGGUUUCCUUGAGUACGCACAAAGUGGGCGGAAUUCGUGGUGUAGCGGUGAAAUGCUUAGAUAUCACGAAGAACUCCGAUUG